rnacentral:tRNA from 1 species
AAAAAAUUAGUUAAAUAUAACAUAAGAAUGUCAAUCUUAAAUUACUAUAUAAAGUAUUUUUUA